UGGAUCGAUGAUGCUUUUCAAGAAAUACUGCGUUAUCUUCCUGAUUACAUGUGAGGCUGUUGCUAUCAUGGCCAUGGCCUCCUGAUGACACAAUUAUCUUGCUGAGAUCCA
rnacentral:snoRNA from 1 species